UUCCAUGGAGGGCUCACGCCGCCGGUCGGCUUCCAGGGAUGGCGCCUAUGGUGGUGCACGCUAACGCAGUGCUAAACACUCCCAGGUCAGAGUGAAGCUUCUCCUAUGAGAGAAAGGCUCGUGGUUUGAACCGGGAUUGGUCUUUGGGGUACAGAGGUGGUCGUUUGGCUUGAGUGGUGCAGCUUGGAGGAACGGAGGUGGAGACAAUGAUAUGGGCAAACAAUGCUGCAUCAGCAUCAAGAGCUCAUCAACUGGCCAUGCGAGGCGCGACGACUGCGGCCGGCAGCACGAGGGUGUGGGGCUGGAAGAGGCGUGCUGGAGGUGCAAGUGACCACAGCUGAGUACCUCAGUGAGCUUGCUUUGGUUCAUGUCAUGAAGAGACUUGCGGCCUGCCUCCGAGGGAGGCGACACUGAAUGCGCUGAGCCGAUGUCAUCUGAAGAAUCAAGCACCAAGAUACUGCUUCAGGCUGGCAUCCUGCCACUGCUCGCCGUCUCGCUGCUCCAUGGCCAGGUAUGGCGGCGAUGUGCUUGGUCAAGUGGAGACAAGCGCCGUGGGAGAAGAUGAACAUCGGGAGGGGUCGAGGUUGAGCAGGAGAUGAAGGGGUUGCCGUGCGCAGCACCGUGCUCGGUUUACCUUGGGCUCAUCAUCAAGGACGAUGUCAACAGUCGGGUCUGAUCCGGAGGCGGUGUGGUCAGCGUGUCCUGAGCCGGAGGAGGCGAGGACCAGCACGAGGUUUCAUAACUUCAAAUCAUUCACUAAUUGAUCUUCAGGAAAUGUAUUAAGACCAUCGUGCAAAAGUUCAUGAUUGUUUGACUCAGUUAUGGCAAAUUAAGCAAAUGAGUUUUUCAUGUAUUCCUGUUUGUAUCAGAAGGUCGGCUUAUUAACA